rnacentral:rRNA from 1 species
GGUUUCCGUAGGUGAACCUGCGGAAGGAUCAUUGUCGAAACCUGCGCAGCAGAAAGACCCGCGAACACGUUACAACACUCGGGGGGUAAGGGGCGUGAAUGCCGCCCUGGAACCCCUCCGUCGGGGGACCGUAUGGCCUUUCCCCGCGCCCCCGACACCUAACAAAACCCCGGCGCGGAAUGCGUCAAGGAAAGACGACGAGACGAGCAUCACCGUCGGGGCCCCGUAAACGGAUAUUGCCCCGACCUGUGCUUCGUUAUCAAGUUUGAGUCUAUAAACGACUCUCGGCAACGGAUAUCUCGGCUCUCGCAUCGAUGAAGAACGUAGCGAAAUGCGAUACUUGGUGUGAAUUGCAGAAUCCCGUGAACCAUCGAGUCUUUGAACGCAAGUUGCGCCUGAAGCCAUCAGGCCGAGGGCACGUCUGCUUGGGCGUCACACAACGUUGCCCCCCCUUCCCCCGAAACUCAGCCGCACUCCCAGUCGGGUGAGCCGGGACCGAAGAGGGGCGGAUGAUGACCUCCUGUUGGCUGUUCGGCUGGCGGUUGGUCCAAAAAAAGAGUCCUCGAACACUUUGUCGUGGCAACAGGUCGUCGAUAACUCGGUGCCCUGCCACGUGCGUCGGACACUCGUCGAGACUCGGACGUACACCCCAACGCACCCGUCGGAGGUGCUCCCAACGCGACCCCAGGUCAGGCGGGGCUACCCGC